ACAUAUUACCGAAGCUGUGGCUUGUCCUUUGGACAAUGGUAGGAGAGCGUUCUAAGGGCGUUGAAGCAUGAUCGUAAGGACAUGUGGAGCGCUUAGAAGUGAGAAUGCCGGUGUGAGUAGCGAAAGACGGGUGAGAAUCCCGUCCACCGAUUGACUAAGGUUUCCAGAGGAAGGCUCGUCCGCUCUGGGUUAGUCGGGUCCUAAGCUGAGGCCGACAGGCGUAGGCGAUGGAUAACAGGUUGAUAUUCCUGUACCACCUAUAAUCGUUUUAAUCGAUGGGGGGACGCAGUAGGAUAGGCGAAGCGUGCGAUUGGAUUGCACGUCUAAGCAGUAAGGCUGAGUAUUAGGCAAAUCCGGUACUCGUUAAGGCUGAGCUGUGAUGGGGAGAAGACAUUG
rnacentral:rRNA from 1 species